rnacentral:rRNA from 1 species
AGGAAAACUUACGCUAAUACCGCCUGAACGUACGGGUGAAAGCAGGGGAUCUUCGGACCUUGCGCGAUUGAAUGAGCCGAUUUCGGAUUAUCUAGUUGGCGGGGUAAAGGCCCACCAAGGCGACUAUCCGGCCCUGGUCUGAGAGGAUGAUCAGCCACACUGGAACUGAGACACGACUCCUACUCCUACCGGAGGCAACAAUGGGGAAUAUUGGACAAAGAGCGCGAGCCUGAUCUCCCCAUACCGCGAGGGUGAACAAGGCCUUCGGGUUGUUCAGCCCUUUUGUUGGGAAAGAAAUCCCGCUGGCUAAUACCCGGGUGGGAUGACAGUACCCAAAGAAUAACCCCCGGCCAACUUCCUGCCAACUACCGCGGUAGUACGAAUGGUGCAGACUUUACUCGUAAUUACGGGGCGUAAGCCGAGCUUAAGUUGUCUUUUAAAUCCUUUGUGAUAACCCUGGGCUCUGCCUGUGAACUGGCGUGGAUACAGGACGACUAAAGUGUGUUAAAGGGUAGCGGAAUUCCUGGUGUGCCAAUGUAAUGCUUAGAAAUCAAGAGGAACAUCCAUGGCGAAGGCUCCUACCUGGACCUACUCUGACACUGAGGCACGAACGCGUGGGGAGCAAACACGAGUAGAUACACUGCUAAUACAAUGCCUACUCGAUGCUAACUGUAUGUAGGGUGAAACUUGGCACACAUUAUCAAAGCUCACGCUGUAAGAUUACCACCUGGGGAGUACAGUCACAAGACUGAAACUCAGAGGAAUUGACGGGGGCAUUCACAAGCGGUAGUACUAUGUGGUUUAAUUCAAUGCAACGCGAGAACAUGACCUGGCCUUGACUUGUCGAGAACUUUC